GGGGUAGGGGUUGCUCUGCUUGUGUAAGUCCCAUAGUGUGAAGGCCAGAGAACCAAGAGAUGGUCAAGAAGAGAGAGUAAGUGUCCAAUGUCCCAGCUCAAGAAGAGAGACAAGACCAACCCCGCCUCUUCCUUCUCCUUCUCGACCUACUCAAAGUAAAGAUGAGGAUGAAGACCCUUAAGAUGAUCCACUCCCACUUAAUGAAUAGAGCAUCACGACCUGUGCAGACUCCCCAGCAUCAUAACAGGAAGGUCCCACGAUCACGAGCACAUUGCCUUCAGCAUCCAGCACUGAAUAUGGUGAAUUGCACUCUGAAGAGCUUCCUAAGCUUGUAAGAAAGUGAUUCUGAAAAGCUCAACAUUUUGGUAGAAUGGAGAGAUUUGACAUUGCUUCUGCUCCAAAAGCAAAAGACUUGGGAAGGGCACCCUGGGAGUUGAGAACAUCCACCACAGAGAGAAAGAAUGCUGAUCCCUGUUCUGGGCACCUGUUCUGCACCCUUUUGGCCAGUCCUUCCAGCCUGUGGAGACAGCUACUGUCCUUGCUGACUGUGCUAGGCCUGGCGUAAAGGAGAUGGGACUCACACCCAAGAGGAUGCAUUUCCAUACACCCAUUUCUGAAAUAUGAAGAGGUGUCCAGUCUGUUUGAUUCAUAGCUGCCUGUUCCACAACUGCAGAUACAGUAAUUGAUAACCGAGACCAAGUUCUCAUCCCCAUCUCCCAGGGCUGGAACUGGGGCUGUGUUUGGUUCUCAUAAGAUCAGUUCCAGUUUUAGAAACUGAGUAAAUUGUGGAGUAAAUAUUGCCAAGUGAUGGCUUUCUGCUGUAGGCGUGGGUCGCUGUUGGCCAUUUGCCUCAGCAUAUCACCAGCAAUGCACCUCAUUGCAUCACUGCAUUUCCAAUUACACCUCAAAGCACCACUGGUCCCCUGUCCACCCUCUGCCCUGCAGAGGUGGGUGUUCAGGGAGACAGAUCCAAAAUCUGGGCUCAGAAGAUGGAAAUGCCAACUGCUCUCAAUUUGAGAGUGGGGAUGAGACUUUUUGACUCAACUCUGGUUAAUUCAGCCAUGCUGUCAGAGCUGCUUUGAUGCAAGGACAUCUGAAUGCUAUCUGAAUGCUGCCCCUAAAAUAACAAAUUAAAAACAACAACAACAACAAAAA
rnacentral:lncRNA from 1 species